rnacentral:piRNA from 1 species
UCAGGAAAAAAUUACUGUGGGGUU